AACGAACGCUGGCGGCAUGCCUAACACAUGCAAGUCGAACGAGACCUUCCGGGGUCUUGUCGCGCGCGUGUGUGUAACGUGUGGAAAUCCCCUUAUGGGUUCGGUAUCUCACUGAGAGAUGACUUCUAAUACCGUAAGAUCUCCUUAAGUCCAAUGUUUUAUCGCCUGAUGAUCAGUCCUUAUAGGAUUUGCUUGUUGGUGUGGUAAAGUCACACCAAGGCGACGCUCCUUAGCUGGUAUGAGAGGAUGAUCAGCCACACUGGGACUGAGACACGGCCCAGACUCCUACGGGAGGCAGCAGUGGGGAAUAUUGGACAAUGGGCGAAAGCCUGAUCCAGCAAUGCCGCGUGAGUGAUGAAGGCCUUAGGGUUGUAAAGCUCUUUUACCCGGGAUGAUAAUGACAGUACCGGGAGAAUAAGCCCCGGCUAACUCCGUG
rnacentral:rRNA from 1 species